rnacentral:rRNA from 1 species
UACGGGGGGAGCAAGCGUUGUUCGGAUUUACUGGGCGUAAAGGGCGCGUAGGCGGCCUUCUAAGUCGAACGUGAAAUCCCCGGGCUCAACCCGGGAACUGCGUCCGAGACUGGAAGGCUCGAAUCCGGGAGAGGGAUGUGGAAUUCCAGGUGUAGCGGUGAAAUGCGUAGAUAUCUGGAGGAACAUCGGUGGCGAAGGCGGCAUCCUGGACCGGUAUUGACGCUGAGGCGCGAAAGCCAGGGGAGCAAACGGG